GAUAGCUCAGUUGGUAGAGCAGAGGAUUGAAAAUCCUCGUGUCACCAGUUCAAAUCUGGUUC
rnacentral:tRNA from 1 species